rnacentral:rRNA from 1 species
CCUACGGGUGGCAGCAGUGAGGAAUAUUGGUCAAUGGACGGAAGUCUGAACCAGCCAUGCCGCGUGCAGGAAGACGGCUCUAUGAGUUGUAAACUGCUUUUGUACAAGGGAAAACCUGAAUACGUGUAUUCAGCUGAAAGUACUGUACGAAUAAGGCUCGGCUAACUCCGUGCCAGCAGCCGCGGGAAUACGGAGGAUCCAAGCGUUAUCCGGAUUUAUUGGGUUUAAAGGGUGCGUAGGCGGAUUGAUAAGUUAGAGGGGAAAUGUCCGAGCUUAACUCGGGAACUGCCUCUAAUACGGUUGAUCUAGAGAGUAGAUGCGGUAGGCGGAAUGUAUGGUGUAGCGGUAAAAUGCUUAGAGAUCAUACAGAACACCGAUUGCGAAGGCAGCUUACCAAUCUAUAUCUGACGUUGAGGCACGAAAGCGUGGGGAGCAAACAGGAUUAGAUACCCCAGUAGUC